ensembl:snRNA U1 U1 spliceosomal RNA
AUACUAGCCUGGCAGGGAAGACACUGGGAUCAAGACGUUGGUCCACCCGGGGCAAGGCUCAGCCGUUCAUUCUUCUUGUGCAAACCCUGUGAAUUCCCUAGAUAUGGGAAUUUGCACUGCAUCAUUUCUGCUAGUGGGGGACUGCAUUCACACUCUCCCCUG